GGGUAGAACACUGCCAGCUGGGUUGGUUCCAAUCGCAGACGAUUUUGCUCAGGGCAACUUGCCUGAGGUUGAGAUUAUUGUUGGGGACUCCAGUAAUUUCGGUGCAGCCACACCCAAGCCUCAAGGAGAUGACCCCCUGGAUCUUUACAAGCCAAAGGUUUCUUCAUGGGGAGUCUUUCCCAGACCCAAUGACAUUUCAAAAACGUUUGGUGGUGGGUGAGUUAUACACCCCGGGGAAGUGCUUGAAACGCAGGAAGAAAAAGCUGCUAAGAAGGAGCGAACAAGACAAUUAGUUGCUGCUUACAACACUAAAAUGGGCUUGAACAUUGAUCCCAAGCUCAGAUUGGACAGUGAGAAGACAUUAAAGGAUGGUGACUCAUUGAUGAACGUCGGAAAGCUGAAGGAAGCAUUACCCUACUAUGAGAAAGUUAUGGAUAAGUUACCAUUCAAGACCAGCUCCAUGCAACAGGCCAACCUAGUCUACACUGCAUGAAGUUAGUACAUUAACAUAUCGGUACCACUGUAUGGAGUCAGUCUAGCACAGUAUCGAGCUGGUGUACUUCA